UCCAGAGGAACGUCUCUUCCUGGUGGCGGAGUCAAGUCUGCGAGAGCUCCUGUCACAGUGUCCUUGUGGCAGCAGCGAUGCUGAAACAGACAUCACAACAAGGGGCACAUGGCUGAGAGCAGCAACAGCUUGCAGCUGUGGGAAACUGCGUACAUGGUCCAGCCAGCCUUGGGUGGAAGACAGACCACUCGGAAACAUUCUGCUCUGUAGUGCGAUUCUGUUUUCCGGCGUGAACAUAACCAAGGCAUUUCGUAUGUUUGCCAUGAUGAAGGUGCCAACACUGACUUUGUCGCAGUACUUCAGAACACAGAAACAGCACCUCUUUCCUGCCGUGAAUGAUGUCUUCCUGAGCAGACAAGCUGAGCUACUGGACCGGCUCCGCCCAGUGCCCCUGACCCUUGCGGGAGAUGGCAGAUGUGAUUCGCCAGGCCACACAGCCCUCUAUGGCACUUACACACUGCUUGAGACAGUUGCCAAUAGGAUCAUCCACUUUGAAUUGGUCAAGAUAUCUCAUACCAAAUCUUUCUGUAACAGUAUCGUAAACAUUGCAUCAUGCAAUUCAUACUUUUUCGGGUAAUACCCGAUAUUUACCCUCAAGCUUCCAAUUUUCGGCCUUAAUCCAGUUUCUCCCUAAAAAAAAUGUGGUUCUAAUUAAGUGUUUUUUUCAUUGCGGAACUGGCAGAGCUUACUCACAAUGUUGUACUAAAAUCCUUAACACUACGAGCUCAGGACUAAUUGCUGCUAUUCAGAGAGUGGAAGAAGUGUUGACGCUGUACA